rfam:Ictidomys tridecemlineatus contig078123, whole genome shotgun sequence.
GGAGUUGUGGCUCGAUGGUAGAGCGCUCGUCUAGCAUGUGUGAGGCCCUGGGUUCGAUCCUCAGCACCACCU